AUUGAACGCUGGCGGCAUGCCUUACACAUGCAAGUCGAACGGUAACAGGUCUUCGGAUGCUGACGAGUGGCGAACGGGUGAGUAAUACAUCGGAACGUGCCCGAUCGUGGGGGAUAACGAAGCGAAAGCUUUGCUAAUACCGCAUAAGAUCUACGGAUGAAAGCAGGGGACCGCAAGGCCUUGCGCGAACGGAGCGGCCGAUGGCAGAUAAGGUAGUUGGUGGGAUAAAAGCUUACCAAGCCGACGAUCUGUAGCUGGUCUGAGAGGACGAACAGCCACACUGGGACUGAGACACGGCCCAGACUCCUACGGGAGGCAGCAGUGGGGAAUUUUGGACAAUGGGCGAAAGCCUGAUCCAGCCAUGCCGCGUGCAGGAUGAAGGCCUUCGGGUUGUAAACUGCUUUUGUACGGAACGAAAAGACUCUUUCUAAUAAAGAGGGUCCAUGACGGUACCGUAAGAAUAAGCACCGGCUAACUACGUGCCAGCCGCCGCAGUAA
rnacentral:rRNA from 1 species